GACGAACGCUGGCGGCGUGCCUAAUACAUGCAAGUCGAGCGGACGAAUCGAAAGCUUGCUUUUGAUUCGUUAGCGGCGGACGGGUGAGUAACACGUGGGCAACCUGCCCUGUAGACGGGGAUAACACCGAGAAAUCGGUGCUAAUACCGGAUAACACGAAAUGUCGCAUGACGUUUCGUUGAAAGACGGCGCAAGCUGUCGCUACAGGAUGGGCCCGCGGCGCAUUAGCUAGUUGGUGAGGUAACGGCUCACCAAGGCGACGAUGCGUAGCCGACCUGAGAGGGUGAUCGGCCACACUGGGGCUGAGACACGGCCCAGACUCCUACGGGAGGCAGCAGUAAGGAAUCUUCCGCAAUGGACGAAAGUCUGACGGAGCAACGCCGCGUGAGCGAAGAAGGCCCUCGGGUCGUAAAGCUCUGUUGUUAGGGAAGAACAAGUAACGCAGUAACUGGCGUUACCGUGACGGUACCUAACGAGAAAGCCACGGCUAACUACGUG
rnacentral:rRNA from 1 species